CGUGCACGCCGCCACGAAACAUCUCAUUAGCGUCAUUGUGUACGGAGUCCAGUGCCGGAGAACGUCGCGGACGACGGCGCAGCGUCGUCGGGGGGUCGUUGUCGUUGGGGGGAAUUCGCCGUCCUCCCAAGAACGGAGGAAAUUGCACGUCAGCGCGACGGAAGGCACCACCCGCGGCGCGUCGUGAUUCCCGGCACAGGAGUGUCCCGGGUGAAGAACGUGAGAGAGGAACCAACAUCACGAGAUGCGGGCCGCCAGCCGGACGAGGGAAUAUGUGUAAGACACGACGGUUGUUUGUUGGACCGCGACGUGGGGCACCGGGAAUUAGGACGCCGGAGGAGGUGAAAUACACCCGGAGUAUUUGAGAAGAUAAUCAACGUCGAUUCCUGUCUAUUUUCGAGAAAGGAAAUUGUCAAUCUUUGAGAAAGACUUUGAGUAAGAAGCAAAAAAUAACAUCUGUUGUUAUUUCCUUUGUUGGCGGACAGCUGUACAUAAAGAUACUGUUGUCAGUUGAAUUGAAUAAGAAAUAAAAUUAAAUUAAACUUAAA